AGCUUUAUAGUCAAUAAUGAUAUUAGACUGCAAUUCUAAAGGAAUAAAUAAAUUUAUUAAAGCUU
rnacentral:tRNA from 1 species